UUGCUGUUUGGAAUACCGGUACUGCAGCCGGAGAAGCUGAAGGUGGAUGGCGUGCAGGACAUUCUGGAUUACAAGCCGGACUUAAUCGUCACGGCGGCAUUUGGACAGAUUCUGCCAAAAGAAUUAAUCGACUAUCCUACAUACGGAUGUAUUAACGUUCAUGCUUCCCUGUUGCCGCAGUAUCGGGGCGGCGCUCCGAUUCAUAAGGCGAUUAUUGAUGGUCA
rnacentral:rRNA from 1 species